GGGGAAAAGAGCAAGCAGAUGACAGGGAGUGUUGGGAGAAGGGUGAGGAAUUUGGACAUGCAGUGGUUGUUACUUCGCAGAGGGUGGUCAGGAAAAGUCUGUCUUAUAAGGUGACAUCUGAGCAGGAUGAAGCAGAACAAAGGAGUAAAUCAUGCGGACAUCCACGAAUACUCAGCACAGGUAAUAGCAGGUCCAUAGACCUAAAUAUGGAGCUAUACCUGCCUUGUUCCAGAAACACAUGAAGAACAGCAUUUUCAGAAAUCAGUGAAUGAGGAGGACAGUAGAUAGGAACCCAUGGGACAAGUGAUCCUAAGGACUUGGCUUUCACUGACUGAAAUAGGAAGCCACUGGAGAAUUUUGAGCAGAGAAGUGACAUGAUGUAACCCGUGUGUCAAUAGAUCACUUUGGCUGGGGCACCUGGCUGGCGGGGCCGGCGGAGCAUGUGACUGUUAAUCUCGGUGUUUUGAGUUCCAGACCCAGGUUGGGUGCAGAACUUACUGAAAAGAAAAACAAAAUCACUUUGGCUGACUUGCAGAGGAAGGCGUUGGUGGGCUAGUUAGAACCAGCAAUAGAACAAGCAAUAACCCACGGUGACAGACCUUGUGGAAUCUGACCAGGGUGCAGGUAGUGAGAAGCUGUCAGAUUCUGAAUUCAUUUUGAAGACAGAAUCUACAUGACUUGCUGACGCACUGAACACAAGGUGUGGAAAGAAAGAGGAAUCAAGGAUGGCCAUGGGAGGCAGACCUCAGCAUCUGACGAGUGUUAUGCUCAGGAAAGGCUCCUGCACGACCAGCAAAGCCUCACGACCGCCUCUGGAACCGUUUUAUCACUUCACUGUCACUAGUGCGGAAAAGCCCCAGCUGCCCCUUUGGUCACCCUCUGACCACCCCAUCUGAGGCCGCGGCCGAGACCCCAGCUCAGGUCCUGUUACGUGUUCAGGGUCGUGAGAUCGAUCCCCGCUAUGGGCUCCGGGCUCAACGCAGAGGCCGCUUCUCUCUCCUUCUGUCCCUCCUCCCUCGUUGGCG